CCUACGGGAGGCAGCAGUGAGGAAUAUUGGUCAAUGGCCGGAAGGCUGAACCAGCCAUGCCGCGUGAAGGUCAGUGCCCUAUGGGCGUUAAACUUCUUUUGUGCGGGAGCAAUAAUGGUCACGUGUGGCCAGACGAGAGUACCGUACGAAUAAGCAUCGGCUAACUCCGUGCCAGCAGCCGCGGUAAUACGGGGGAUGCAAGCGUUAUCCGGAUUUAUUGGGUUUAAGGGGUGCGUAGGCUGUGAGGUAAGUCAGCGGUGAAAUGCCCCCGCUCAACGGGGUGAAGUGCCAUUGAUACUGCCUUGCUGGAAUGCGGAUGCCGUGGGAGGAAGGUGUGGUGUAGCGGUGAAAGGCAUAGAUAUCACACAGAACACCGAUUGCGAAGGCAUCUAACGAAUCCGCGAUUGACGCUGAGGCACGAAAGCGUGGGUAUCAAACAGGAUUAGAUACCCCGGUAGUC
rnacentral:rRNA from 1 species